GACCCCGACAAGCAGGCCAGGCCCAGCCUCUCCCUGUCACCAGGCUGUGCACUGUUCACCAGGCUGUGCACUGUUCUGGACUGGUGAGUGAAAGGCAGAAGAUCCACGAAGGGGCUCUGACGAUGCCUCAGCCCUCCCUGGGACGAGGAGGGGACUGAUGGUUCCUGGGUCCUCUGGGAGACUGCAGACCACACCACCACGGGAGUCCAGUCCACACACCGCACCACCACAUGGCUGAGGUUCUGACCGCAGGAAAUGGGACAAGGACAGAGCCACGGGGGGGGACCCUGUGGGUGGCCUCCCAUCUACAAAGUGGACCUGGAGCCAGCCUGCUCCUCUCCAACUUGACCGGCUGUCAUCGCCUGUCCCCUGACCCAUGGCAGCAGAGCCUGCCUGAGUCUGGGGGACACCCCUGGGCCAUGCUGCUUCUCACUGGAGACCCUGUGUGACCCGGUCUCUGCUGACACCCUCGACUUCCUACUCACCAUGCCCCAGCUGUCUGUACGUAGGCCCAAACUCUUCCUUUCUUGUGAGUCAAUGCUGUUCCCUCGGACUGGA